rnacentral:rRNA from 1 species
GACGAACGCUGGCGGCGUGCUUAACACAUGCAAGUCGAACGGAAAGGCCCUGCUUUUGUGGGGUGCUCGAGUGGCGAACGGGUGAGUAACACGUGAGUAACCUGCCCUUGACUUUGGGAGAACUUCAGGAAACUGGGGCUAAUACCGGAUAGGAGCUCCUGCUGCAUGGUGGGGAUUGGAAAGUUUCGGCGGUUGGGGAUGGACUCGCGGCUUAUCAGCUUGUUGGUGGGGUAGUGGCUUACCAAGGCUUUGACGGGUAGCCGGCCUGAGAGGGUGACCGGCCACAUUGGGACUGAGGUACGGCCCAGACUCCAACGGGAGGCAGCAGGGGGGAACAUUGCCCAAUGGGCGGAAGCCUGAUGCAGCAACGCCGCGUGCGGGAUGACGGCCUUCGGGUUGUAAACCGCUUUCGCCUGUGACGAAGCUUGAGUGACGGUAAUGGGUAAAGAAGCACCGGCUAACUACGUG